UUCUUAAUAGUUUAUAAAAAUUUUAGUUUUGUAAUCUAAAGAUUGAGAAUUAUCUCGUUAAGAAU
rnacentral:tRNA from 1 species